AGAUUGAACGCUGGCGGCAUGCCUAACACAUGCAAGUCGAACGGUAACGCGGGGGCAACCCUGGCGACGAGUGGCGGACGGGUGAGUAAUACGUAGGAAUCUGCCCAUUUGUGGGGGAUAACCCGGCGAAAGCCGGGCUAAUACCGCAUACGCUCUACGGAGGAAAGCGGGGGAUCGCAAGACCUCGCGCUAAUGGAUGAGCCUACGUCGGAUUAGCUAGUUGGUAGGGUAACGCCUACCAAGGCGACGAUCCGUAGCUGGUCUGAGAGGACGAUCAGCCACACUGGGACUGAGACACGGCCCAGACUCCUACGGGAGGCAGCAGUGGGGAAUAGUUGGACAAGUGGGGGCAACCCUGAUCCAGCAAUGCCGCGUGUGUGAAGAAGGCCUGGCGGUUGAAGCUACUUCAGUAGGGAAGAAAAAUCGGAGCUAACACCUCGAGCUUGACGUUACCCAUAGAAGAAGCAACCGCUAACUCCGUGCCAGCACGCGAC
rnacentral:rRNA from 1 species